rnacentral:rRNA from 1 species
AGAGUUUGAUUCUGGCUCAGGAUGAACGCUAGCGACAGGCCUAACACAUGCAAGUCGAGGGGCAUCGGGGCGAGGAGCAAUCCUUGCCGCUGGCGACCGGCGCACGGGUGAGUAACGCGUAUGCGACCUGCCCGUUGCAGGGGGAUAAUCGGGAGAAAUCCCGUCUAAUACCGCGUAAUGCCGCGGGGCUGCAUGGCCCUGCGGCCAAAGGAAGCGAUUCCGGCAACGGAUGGGCAUGCGUGACAUUAGCUAGUUGGCGGGGCAACGGCCCACCAAGGCGACGAUGUCUAGGGGUUCUGAGAGGAAGGUCCCCCACACUGGUACUGAGACACGGACCAGACUCCUACGGGAGGCAGCAGUGAGGAAUAUUGGUCAAUGGGCGCGAGCCUGAACCAGCCAAGUCGCGUGAGGGAUGACGGCCCUACGGGUUGUAAACCUCUUUUGUCGGGGAGCAAAUUCCGCCACGCGUGGCGGAGUCGAGAGUACCCGAAGAAAAAGCAUCGGCUAACUCCGUGCCAGCAGCCGCGGUAAUACGGAGGAUGCGAGCGUUAUCCGGAUUUAUUGGGUUUAAAGGGUGCGUANGCGGACUGUCAAGUCAGCGGUAAAAUACGGGGGCUCAACCUCCGCCCGCCGUUGAAAC